CAGGCAGGUUGGACGGUCGCCCCGAAAUCAAAUUAGGGGAGGAAAGUCCGAGCUUUCAAGGGCCGGGAUGCCUCGUAACGCGAGGGGUCCACAUGGACACGGAAAGCGCCACAGAAAACAUACCGCCCAAUUGGGUAAGGGUGAAAUGGCGGUGUAAGAGACCACCGGGGCCGCCGCAAGGCGACUCGCAUGGCAAGCCCCAUCCGAAAGCAAGGCCAAGUAAGGGGAGAGAGGUGGCCCGCCUCAUUCGAUCCCCGGGUAGGCCGCAAGAUCACGAUGGUGACAUCGUGACCAGAUAGAUGACCGUCACCCGCAAGGGGACAGAACUCGGCUUACAGACCUGCCCAAAUU
rnacentral:RNase_P_RNA from 2 species